rnacentral:rRNA from 1 species
AAAGUUGAAAAGAACUUUGAAGAGAGAGUUCAAGAGUACGUGAAACCGUUCAGGGGUAAACCUGAGAAACCUAAAAGAUCGAAUGGGGAGAUUCAUCGUCAGCUCAUUAUGUAUAUAUAUUUGUUAUGAUUUGAGUUACUACUUUGUAGUAUUGCUUAUACAUACAUUUAUAUUUAUUUGCAAAAUGUUGUCGGCGUGCACUUCUUUCCUAGUAGAACGUCGCGACCCGUUGAGUGUCAGUCUUACGGCCCAAGUGGUAGCCUUUAAUUAUUUUUAUUAAAUAUUUAAAGACCCUUGGUGUUACCUGACUGACUACUCGGCGGUACUCUUAUGGUAUUAAGCCGCAUAUAUAAUUAUGCGUUCAUGCCCAUCACAAGCGAGGCUAAAUUCUGAUAGUGCGGGACAUAGUUACCGUCGUUGGAUUUUGCCAGCUGUUGGUUGUAUGGUAUUCUAGAACUGGCUUAAAUUAUUACCGGUCAGCGAUGCUACUGCUUUGGGUACUUUCAGGACCCGUCUUGAAACACGGACCAAGGAGUCUAACAUGUACGCAAGUCAUUGGGAUUUUUAAAAAUUAAACCUAAAGGCGUAAUGAAAGUAAAAGUUGUCCUUGCGUCAACUAAGGGAGGAUGAUCUGUAUUAAGAUACAGUUCCGCACUCCUGGGGCGUCUCAUUCUCAUUAUGAGAAGAGGCGCACCUAGAGCGUACACGUU